AUAUUAUUAUCCUUUAUUAAAAAGUUGUUGUUGCUUUUCGUUGCUAUGGUGACCACUUUAGCAACGUUACCAUAGCAACGGUUAAAUAUUAAUGAAUAAAAUUUGUAAAAAGAUUUAUCAAUUAAAUUGUCGAUAAUAAACAUUUUGACAGAAGCGCGCAAAGCGCGUUCGAUUUUCUAGUUAA